CCUAUGUGAAGCUCCUCCUUUGUUUCCUUUUUUUUCUUUAUACAGUUUCUCAUGUGGAAAGCCAGGUAACAUGAACAACAAGACUCAUCCAGGAAAAGCUGGCAAAAAAGAUGAAGUCAAGUUGUGGCAUAUGGUUUUACGGAGCCCUGCAGCACUACAGACCCGAGCUUGCCACAAACCACUGUACCUACCUACUUGGACAAUCCGCCUUAAACAGUGGCCCCCAAUUCUAUGCAUGUGACAUCAAGUGAGGAAAAAAUACUUGGAGCUUCCGUAUUUGAAAAACGAAUAAUAACAAGGCUCAAGGAGGCACAAUCAGCUACAAUGGGUUCCAAGGAGAAGAAGACCCAUCUCAGGCAGGUCUCUCUCCUUCAGAAAUAUAUAAUAUCAACCAAAAAAGACAAGAGAACAAGUGUGCCCUUGUGUAUCAGAAGGAAUGGUUAUACAGAGGUGGGUCAAGCAAGUUCUGUAUGUUUCUUUCUCAGUUUUGGAGUUCCCGGAAUACACGAAAACAUUUUCAUUCUUGCUAUGGGGUAACUUUUCCUCUAAGCAUUCUCCUGGACACAUGUGACACUUAUGAUCCCAACCUUAUCCCCCUCCAGAAUUAGUGCAAGUUAGAAAAGAAGUAGAAUAUUGUGAAGGCUCUACGGGCUCUGGUGCUGUAUGAGCAAUGAAGACCAGACAGGUAUGAAGACCAGAUAGGUUAAACCCAAUAUCUGGAGUUUAUAGCAGGGCUAAUUUGGGGGAAGAAGAAACUAUGUGUAGUUUCCCACUGGGUGUUAUUUUAAGAAUAUUUGGUUGGUUGUACUUUGACAUUGCCCUCUGCUGGCUAGAUACUUAGAGGUAUCAGGUCCUAUUGCACAUUGUAUAAUGGUGCUGUGUUAGGUUUACUUACCUGUGCAUUUUGUUGUAUUAUGUUGCUACUUACUGGUGAAUAUUGCAUGCUGUAGAGUAGAUGGGCCCAUUGCAAUACACUUUCCUAUACACAUUUAUGUGGAAGGUUUCGGAAGGUGGGAGGAGCCUGCCUAACUCAACCUCAUUGCCCUUAGAGACAGGAAGUUUGGUUAGGUUAGAGGUAGAGUGGAGUGCCCAAUCUCCCCUCCUCUCACAGAGUUAGGCCUACACCCCAGGAACAUCUAAACCAUACCACUGUUCAGAAAUGCAUAUACAUCACAAUGGACACUACACAGCCCACUCUGAGGAAAAAACAGAUAGAGAAAAGAGUAAGGAUCAAGAUAUAGAGACACUGAGGAGAAGGUCUACCAGCACCCAUUGCUGCACUAGGUCCAUUUAGGCUUCAGGCUGGGCCUAGCAACUUUUGUGUUUUCAGUCACCAUCUACUAGGACCUGCGCCUCUCUGAGGGAAAUGUGGCAUGCCAUUUGCCCAAAAGAAAGAAUAUAAAUGGACACCGCUGUAAACCAACCAGUGUGUAACCUUUCAAUGGAGAGAGACUUUUGGGGCUUAGAGAUGCUACCAGAGACUAUAGCACUUGACAACCCGCCUGACACUCAGGGCAUGCACUGGAAGACCAUUAACAACCACUACAGUCUGCCCCCUAUGCAGCUGGACCACCAGCCUACAAAGUAUGGAAUGAAUCUUCAGAAGCCCUCUGGCCAUCUUCACCAUUAACCAUGACUGGAUUAGCCACCACAAGGCCAAAACACUGAUUCUGUCUUGGUUUUGUUGCAUGGGAAACUUCCAAGAAGCCCACAAUGAAUGAAAUUCAAGGAGCAAUAAAAGUGGAGCAUGUAAACCUACAUUUCUGUGAACCAUUAAUACAGUAUAUAAAUAUCAUUUUGCAUUUACCAGCAGUAUAAUGUGAAAAAUCUAUUGCAGUUACUUGCGCACUAAAUGGCAGUAUUAU